rnacentral:rRNA from 1 species
ACCGUAAAAUUGCAGUUGAUACUGGGGACCUUGAGUGCGGCAGAGGCAGGCGGAAUUCGUGGUGUAGCGGUGAAAUGCUUAGAUAUCACGAAGAACUCCGAUUGCGAAGGCAGCUUGCUGGACCGUAACUGACGUUGAUGCUCGAAAGUGCGGGUAUCAAACAGGAUUAGAUACCCUGGUAGUCCGCACAGUAAACGAUGAAUACUCGCUGUUGGCGAUAUACUGCCAGCGGCCAAGCGAAAGCGUUAAGUAUUCCACCUGGGGAGUACGCCGGCAACGGUGAAACUCAAAGGAAUUGACGGGGGCCCGCACAAGCGGAGGAACAUGUGGUUUAAUUCGAUGAUACGCGAGGAACCUUACCCGGGCUUGAACUGCAGCGGAAUGAUUUGGAAACAGAUCAGCGAGCAAUCGCCGCUGUGGAGGUGCUGCAUGGUUGUCGUCAGCUCGUGCCGUGAGGUGUCGGCUUAAGUGCCAUAACGAGCGCAACCCUUACCGAUAGUUGCCAUCAGGUGACGCUGGGGACUCUAUCGGGACUGCCGUCGUAAGAUGUGAGGAAGGUGGGGAUGACGUCAAAUCAGCACGGCCCUUACGUCCGGGGCUACACACGUGUUACAAUGGGGGGUACAGCAGGCCGCUACCGGGCGACCGGAUGCCAAUCCCUAAAACCCCUCUCAGUUCGGACUGGAGUCUGCAACCCGACUCCACGAAGCUGGAUUCGCUAGUAAUCGCGCAUCAGCCACGGCGCGGUGAAUACGUUCCCGGGCCUUGUACACACCGCCCGUCAAGCCAUGAAAGCCGGGGGUACCUGAAGUGCGUAACCGCAAGGAGCGCCCUAGGGUAAAACUGGUGAUUGGGGCUAAGUCGUAACAAGGUAACCA